rnacentral:rRNA from 1 species
GUGCACGCUGGCGGUAGGCCUCACACCUGCAAGUCGAACGGCAGCACAGUAAGAGCUUGCUCUUACGGGUGGCGAGUGGCGGACGGGUGAGGAAUACAUCGGAAUCUACUUUUUCGUGGGGGAUAACGUAGGGAAACUUACGCUAAUACCGCAUACGACCUACGGGUGAAAGCAGGGGAUCUUCGGACCUUGCGCGAUUGAAUGAGCCGAUGUCGGAUUAGCUAGUUGGCGGGGUAAAGGCCCACCAAGGCGACGAUCCGUAGCUGGUCUGAGAGGAUGAUCAGCCACACUGGAACUGAGACACGGUCCAGACUCCUACGGGAGGCAGCAGUGGGGAAUAUUGGACAAUGGGCGCAAGCCUGAACCAGCCAUACCGCGUGGGUGAAGAAGGCCUUCGGGUUGUAAAGCCCUUUUGUUGGGAAAGAAAAGCAGCAGGUUAAUACCCCGCUGUUCUGACGGUACCCAAAGAAUAAGCACCGGCUAACUUCGUG